AUCCAGCUGAUGAGUCCCAAAUAGGAAGAAAUGCGCGUCCUGGAU
rnacentral:hammerhead_ribozyme from 1 species